ensembl:misc_RNA Metazoa_SRP Metazoan signal recognition particle RNA
GCCAGGUGUGGUGGUGCUCACCUGUAAUCCCAGCUACUCGGGAGGCUGAGGCAGGAGAAUCACUUGAACCCAGGAGGCAGAGGUUGCAAUGAGCUGAGAUCUCGCCAUUGCACUCCAGCCUGGGCCACAGAGUGGGACCCUGUCUCAA